GGGGACAACCCGCCGAAAGGCGGGCUAAACCCGCGUACAUGCCACCGGGGCAUCCCGGAGGCAGGAAAGGCUUCGGCCGGACAGGGAUGGGCAUGCGGCGCAUUAGGCAGUAGGCGGGGUAACGGCCCACCUAACCGACGAUGCGUAGGGGUUCUGAGAGGAAGGUCCCCCACACUGGUACUGAGACACGGACCAGACUCCUACGGGAGGCAGCAGUGAGGAAUAUUGGUCAAUGGUCGGGAGACUGAAUCAGCCAAGCCGCGUGAGGGAUGAAGGUACAGAGUAUCGUAAACCUCUUUUGUCAGGGAACAAAGGCGGGGACGUGUCCCCGGAUGAGUGUACCUGAAGAAAAAGCAUCGGCUAACUCCGUGCCAGCAGCCGCGGUAAUACGGAGGAUGCGAGCGUUAUCCGGAUUUAUUGGGUUUAAAGGGUGCGCAGGCGGUCUGUUAAGUCAGCGGUCAAAGCCCGGGGCUCAACCCCGGCCCGCCGUUGAAACUGGCAGUCUCGAGUUGGAGAGAAGUAUGCGGAAUGCGCGGUGUAGCGGUGAAAUGCAUAGAUAUCGCGCAGAACUCCGAUUGCGAAGGCAGCAUGCCGGCUCCACACUGACGCUGAGGCACGAAAGCGUGGGUAUCGAACAGGAUUAGAUACCCUGGUAGUCCACGCAGUAAACGAUGAA
rnacentral:rRNA from 1 species